rnacentral:misc_RNA from 1 species
GAUGAAGAACGCAGCGAAAUGCGAUAAGUAAUGUGAAUUGCAGAAUUCAGUGAAUCAUCGAAUCUUUGAACGCACAUUGCGCCCGCCAGUAUUCUGGCGGGCAUGCCUGUUCGAGCGUCAUUACAACCCUCAGGCCCCCGGGCCUGGCGUUGGGGAUCGGCGGAGCCCCCCGUGGGCACACGCCGUCCCCCAAAUGCAGUGGCGGUCCCGCCGCAGCUUCCAUCGCGUAGUAGCUAACACCUCGCGACUGGAGAGCGGCGCGGCCACGCCGUAAAACCCCAACUUCUGAAUGUUGACCUCGGAUCAGGUAGGAAUACCCGCUGAACUUAAGCAUAUCAAUAAGCGGAGGA